CCUACGGGUGGCAGCAGUGGGGAAUAUUGCACAAUGGGGGAAACCCUGAUGCAGCGACGCCGCGUGAGUGAAGAAGUACUUCUUUACGUAAAGCUCUAUCAGCCGGGAAGAAAAUGACGGUACCUGCGUAAGACGCCCCGGCUAACUACGGUCCAGCCGCCGCGGUAAUACGUAGGGGGCAAGCGGUAUCCGGAUUUACUGGGGGGAAAGGGAGCGUAGAGGGUGCGACAAGGCUGGAGUGAAAUUCCGCCGCUUAACUGCGGAACUGCUUUUGAAACUGCCGAACUUGAGUGCGGGAGGGGUAGGCGGAAUUCCUAGUGUAGCGGUGAAAUGCGUAGAUAUUAGGAGGAACACCAGUGGCGAAGGCGGCUUACUGGACAGUAACUGACGUUGAGGCUCGAAAGCGUGGGGAGCAAACAGGAUUAGAUACCCCAGUAGUC
rnacentral:rRNA from 1 species